AGUUGGUAAGGUAACGGCUUACCAAGGCGACGAUGUUUAGGGGACCUGAGAGGGUUGUCCCCCACACUGGUACUGAGACACGGACCAGACUCCUACGGGAGGCAGCAGUGAGGAAUAUUGGUCAAUGGGCGCAAGCCUGAACCAGCCAUCCCGCGUGAAGGAAGAAUGCGCUACGCGUUGUAAACUUCUUUUCCAGGGGGAGAAUAAUCCUGUCGUGACAGGACCUGACGGUACUCUGGGAAUAAGCAUCGGCUAACUCCGUGCCAGCAGCCGCGGUAAUACGGAGGAUGCGAGCGUUAUCCGGAUUUAUUGGGUUUAAAGGGUGCGUAGGCGGAUUGAUAAGUCAGUGGUGAAAUUCUACAGCUUAACUGUAGACUUGCCGUUGAUACUGUUAGUCUUGAGUGUGGUCAAGGCAGGCGGAAUGUGUAAUGUAGCGGUGAAAUGCUUAGAUAUUACACAGAACACCGAUUGCGAAGGCAGCUUGCUGGGUCAUUACUGACGCUGAUGCACGAAAGCGUGGGGAUCAAACAGGAUUAGAUACCCUGGUAGUCCACGCCGUAAACUAUGAUCACUCGCUGUUGGCGAUACACAGUC
rnacentral:rRNA from 1 species